AAGGAUCAUUUAAUGAAUUUGAACGGGACUUGAUGCUGGUCUGCUCUGGUAGACAUGUGCUCAGUUCUACUCAAUCCAUUCAACACCUGUGCACUUUCAAAGUUGGAGUCCUCCGUCAUGGGAGCUGCGGUCUUGUAAUGAGACUGCUGGGACUUCGCUUUGCCCAUUAUCACAAACCAAUUUGAAGUCAUGUAGAAUGUAACUAGCCUAAGGGCUUAAUCUAAUACAACUUUCAACAACGGAUCUCUUGGCUCUC
rnacentral:misc_RNA from 1 species